rnacentral:rRNA from 1 species
ACAUGUUUGUUUGGAGUUAUAAAGAAUUUAACCUGCCCCCUGAUUAACUAUUAAUUAAAGGGCCGCAGUAUUAUAACUGUGCAAAGGUAGCAUAAUCAUUAGGUUUUUAAUUGAAAUCUCGUAUGAAUGGUUGGACAAAAGAAAGACUCUCUUUAUAUUAAGUUUUGAAUUUAACUUUUAAGUGAAAAGGCUUAAAUAUUCUAAAGGGACGAUAAGACCCUAUAAAACUUUACAUUGUUAUUAAUUUUGAUUGAAUUUAUGAAAUAAAAAUUUUAUUUGAUUAUUUGUUAUGUUGGGGAGACAUAAGUAAAAUAUUUUUUUAACUGCUUGAUAGUUAUACAAUUAUUAGUGAAUAAGUAGAAGAUCCUUUUUAAGAUUAGUAGAUUAAGUUACUUUAGGGAUAACAGUGUAAUUUCUUUUGAGAGUUCUUAUCGAAAAAGAAGGUUGCAACCUCGAUGUUGAAUUAAAAUAUCUAUAUAAUGGAGAGGUUAUAUAAGAAGGUCUGUUCGACCUUGAAAAUUUUACAUGAUUUGAGUUCAAACCGGUGUGAGCC